CAAAAAGGGACAAGUUAGAAUUUAAAACCGCUUAGGGGAACCUUGACAUGGUUGCUGACAUCACUUCAGAGUUCCAUCAAGAUGAAAAGACGAUUCAGGUCAGAGUCGCUGCUGUCUGAGCUGGAACCGCUCGAGCUGCUGCUUCCAGAGUCUGAGGAGCUGCUACUGCCGCUCUGAUGAGCUGCACCAGAACCCGGUCCUGAACCUUUCUCUGCACAGGACCAAGACGAGGGAAAGCAAGAACAAAAAAAACUCUGCCAGGCGAGUGGCGCGCUCCUCCUCCGAGUCGGAGCUGGAGGAGUCACCGCUGGAGGAGUCACCGCUGCUGCCACCGCUGCUGCCCGUGC